CCUAACCUUUUGAGUGCGCUUUUGUUUUCUUUUUAAUUGCUAAUAUUUCUUAGCGUAAUGAGAGACACAGUAUUACUUUGAGACCUUCUAUUGCUAAGUCCAAAUUGAUAGUUGAAUCCAAAGCAUAUCAUCUUGAUAUAGCACUCCUAAAGAAGAAUCCAUCGUCUUUAAGCGACAAUAUGGAGGUUUAUUUUGCGUAUGGAGGUCGCAAAUCUAGACUUUAAAGAACAUAUCUUUUUUUUUUCUACCCGCUAGGUCUCAUUUCACCAGUGAAGGUCGCCGAUCUGAGUUCCCAAAGAACUCAUUAUUUUCUUCUACAACUAGGUCUAUUAUCGAGCAAAACCAAACGCAUUUCACAUUUAGUUCCUUUCGGGUGGACGAAGAACGCAAAAAUUUAGUGAACGCACAACGUGCUCUUAGGAAAUGGCAUGACUCAAAUAGUUGUUGGCCUACUGCUCGCUGCACCGAGAAGCAUAACUUAUUAGUUGUUUCUAUGAAGACCACUAUGUUUAGUGUCAUCAGCUACAUCCCGCAAAUAGCUGUUAAAGAAAUCUCCAGGGCAUAUAAAAGAGGUUUGGUCACUGCAGAAAAAGGAGGAAGAUGCUUCUGAUUUAAGGUAAAACAAAUAACCAACAGGUUGAUGAAAGCCAUGAAGACCUUACUUAUGAAUAUUGGUUGAUCAUUCCUAGACAUUCAAAUGUUUUAGGAAUCUUUUAAUUCAGAACUCUUAGAAACUUCAUACUAAACUCUUCAAUUGUCAAACAAUAUCGUAUUUUUUGUUUUUAU